rnacentral:hammerhead_ribozyme from 1 species
ACCUAGCUGACGACUCCUAAAUAGAACGAAACAUGCGUCCUGGAU